CAUUACAUUUUCAAUUUUAUUUUUAUAAAUCAUUGACGAUAUGAUAUAGGCAUAUAGCCAAUUAGAUGGUCACUGUUAGCUAUCAAACAUAAUUUAUCUAAACUAAACAAAUAAAUUUUGUAUCUAUUUAUAUAAAUGGCAAAUUACUUUGUAUCAUAACAACAAACUAUGUGUUUUGUCCUGAAUAAAUCAUUAAAAUUGAAUUUUGCCUAUUAAUUAGAGGCUCGACCCAUAAAACCCAAAAACUAUUAGUUUCAGGUUAACUGUGCUUAGUUGCCAAGUUGUUUGUUUGGAAGGCAAAAACUUUCUAUUAGGGCCGUCAAGUUGUUUGUUUGGAAGACAAAAACUUUCUAUUAGGGGUAGACUUACUCUACUUAAGUUUGUUCUUGGUAGUUUGGGGCGUAUUACAUGUCAAUGUUAGGUGCUCUUGUUAUGAUUCUUAAAGCCUUAGAAGCUUUGAGAACUCUUUCGCAUUGGUGCUAGCAAACAAGACGGAGGUUUGGGUGUUGGAAGUUUGUGGUCCUUCAAUAGGGCUACGUAAUUUAAGUAGUGUUGUAGAUUUCUUCGUGACAUAAAUUCUUUAUGGGGGCGGUUGUGAAGGAUAUCCAUCAGCCUUUGUGGUAGGUGUCGGGAGUUAGACACGAAUGGUGCUCCCUCAAGUCCUUGGAAGCUAUUAUGAUGUCUAUUAGGCGGUUGUAGGAUAGAGGUUUAAACCUCAUAGAUUUCUGUCAUUUUCUAGUGGGAAACAGACAAAAGACUGAGUUUUAGAUGAAUCACUGGUUUGGUGAAUGAUUCUUAGCGAAGCAGUUUCCUCACAUCUUUGCUUAGACAUCUAUUCAGUUGCCAAUAUUGCUAACGGGUUGAGGGGUAUGUUGUUAUUUUCUUUGUUUCAUCAUGAGUCGAGGGGGAAGGAGAGGGGGAAGGUGUUGAGGUCAAGCAGUAGGCUACCUUACAUGACCUUCUACAAAGUUUCACAUUUUCUAGUCAACAUGACAUAUGAUAGGGUGAUCUUUGGAUUCUUCCGAUGAGUUUUCAUUAGAGUUUAAUUAGACUUGCAUGUUUUGUACUCUAAUGCAAGUUUGAUUAGGCGGAAAAAUUUUGUUCCUAUCAAGUUAAAUUUCUUGGCUUGGAGAAUUAGGCUUCAAAGUAUUUUCACGAGGAUAAACUUCUUGGACCUGAAUAUUGAUUUGGAUUAUGUGUUUUUCCUAACUUGCUUGACAGGAUUCGAAUCGAUACAACAUGUCUUGUUAGCAUGUUAUGAUAUUUUUCAUAUCUGACGACUCAUCGCCCAUUGGGAUAUGUGGAUGUUCCGAUGGAGGUCCAUGUUGAUGCUAUUAUACAUUGGUCGGAUUUGGUGUGAUUUUUUUGUUGUGCAACGAAAUGACUUUGAUGCGGUUGUGGUCAUGACUCUUUGAGUGAUAUAGAAUUUAUGUAAUGAUCAAGUUUUUGGAACGGACAAGUCCAAGAAGAUGUUCAUUUAUUACCAUGUAGUUGCCAGACGCUUUUUUUUUUUUUUUUUUUUUGGGAUUUAUAAUAAGAAGGAAAAUUAUAAGAUGAAGUAGGUUGCUUGAAUAGAAAACUUUUCUCUAACGUGUAUUUUAUAAUUUCUAGUUUUUAAUGUGAUUUAACGUUCAUAAAAAAAUGUUAAAAAGGAUGUAAUACAAUAAUACAAAACAUGAAAUAUGACAUGAACGGUUACAAGUAGACCUACCUCAAAUUGGAAUAUAUAUUCUCUCACCCACUAUUUAAUCGGGGCCAACAUUAUUAGUCCGAUAACAUGAGAUCCGACGAACCACAAUAACCAACAUGUCACCUUUUGGUCACUUACUUUUCAUUCUAAACUAGGGGCGUAACCUACAUAUUAUCUUUUGAUCAUUUACUUUUCAUUCUAUACUAGGGGUGUUUGUAGUGUAAUGUGUGGUUUAAAAUGACAACCGUAAACCACCCCACAUAGUUUAAAAAAAUACAAACCGUAAACUACAAACUAUAAACCACCUUGCAAAAAUUUGAAACCAUGUGAAAUGGUGCGACGCAUUCCUAAGCACCCUCCCGUCGAAUUUUCCCGCUCUAAACAUCAAGCUUUGCCCUUUCAAUCGAGGAUAUAAUCUGUUCCUACUUUUCAGCAGAAUGAAAUAAGGUGUUUUAAACCAUAUUGGAAUGAAGAGCAGAUAGAGAGAGCGAUUGAAAUCUCUACGUGGGUGUCUAUGGUAAAACAAAGGGGUAGAAAGGUAUCGAGUAGUAGAAGGAGGAGAUCGGUAGGGGUGGGGAAAAGGAUUACCUCAACAUAGUCAGAUAUGGAUUAUCGAGAGAAGAAGGGAAUAAGAGUCUUCAAAUUUUUGGUCCCAGCAAGCUUGAAGAGAAGAAGGUAAAUUAAUUGCUUCAAAUUAAUUUUUUUUCCAAUACUAUUUUAUCAUUGUUUUGUAGAUGAUUUAGGUUGGAUGUGUUUUUGUUAGAUGAAUGAGAAAUAUCAUUGGCUUCACACAUCUGAUGAUUUCAAGAAAGACUCAUCUUAUUCUUAUGUAUUAUCGAGUUUACUUUUCAUUACGAUUUUAGUGAGGGCUUAUCGAAAAAUUAGGGUUUUUAUAAUAUAUGCUUCUUUCCUCCCCAAUAGGGUGCUUUGACUAUUUUUCAAUUGGUGGAGUAACUGAGAAUGCCAAGGUUUGUAUUUUCAAUUUUUGCUUUUAUUUUCAUUUCUUGAGUGUGUAUUGCGAUAAAUCCUAAGGAAGAAAUUGGUUUAAAUCUUCACAUUAUAUUUCACAUAGAUAUAAUUCUUAUCAGUACCAUAUGAUCGAUGUUUUCUUAAUUGUUGGUCAUUUCUCCAGCUCCAACUCAUUGUGUUUGUGUUAACUUCAAAAUCAGGUACUAAUCUGCUCCUAUUGCAAAUUAUUAUGUUUUUUUACGAGCAAUGUGUUUGUGUUACUGGAUAGAAUCAGGAAUGGUUCAAAUUGACUGUUUUAUCGUUUAACAUCUCCAUUUUACCCUUAAUUGAUUUCUAAACUUAGUGCAAGAUAGUGUUUUGAGCUUAAGCACCAUCUGUGAGAGUUAAAUCUUCCUUCUCUGUUUACCAAAGAUUACCAUGAAGCUGAUAUGGGAUUUGGGUUCUGGAACUCAUCUAAGCAAGAACAAAGAACAAAACGAUUUUAUCUUUUUCCCAACCCCCACCUUAUAUUGACUAAAUAUUUCUCUAUCAGGUAUAUUUAUCAUUUCUAUUAUGUCCGUGUAUCAUUUUAUAUGAGAGUGGAUAUAUGUAAUAACCACCACCAACUAUGGAUCUCUUUAGUCUUUACAUAUGUGCUUAUUUCAACAUCGGGUCUGUACAGACAUCCCAUGGUUGCAAUUUGAACUUAUUGAAUAGUUUUACAAAAGAGACAGACAGAUUCCCAAUGAUGACCAAUUAGCAAUAUAUUGACGUGGGAUGCCAAGGGUAAAGAUGUAGACCUUAGCGAGCUCAUGAAAUUUUAUUGUUUUUAGUAUAUUUAUGGGGUUUUUGUGAUAUAAUUGUCCAUUUGAUGUAGGAUGGAAAGGGUAAUGUUGUAUACCUGAUGUAGUUUUUAUAACUUGUGAUAUAACUAAAAACACAAUUAUUCAUUUGAAGUAAGUUACAGUAGUUAAAUGGUUACUGUUUAUAAGUUUUGAUAGGUGCAUAAUUGGAAAGUUGAAGAUGGUUGACGAUGUUUUAGAGGCAGGGGUAUAAAUGGAAAAUUGAAGUUUAAAUUGGGAACAAGGGUAUAAUUGGAAAUCAUAUGGGGGACUAUGGUGUCUAACUUGGGGACAGGGGAAUAAUUAGAAAGUCGAAGGAAAAUGUCAAUUUGGAAAAUAGUCAAAGUGGAGUGAUAUAUGAUUCAAGAUGUUUGAUACAUGGACAUAAUCAAUUGAACCCUUGACAGGUUAUAUUUUAUUGGCGUUUCUAACA